rnacentral:lncRNA from 1 species
AGGGCCACACCCACAGCACAUGGAGGUUCCCAGGCUAGGGGUCGAAUCCGAGCUAGGGCUGCCAGUACUCAUGGCAACGCCAGAUCCUUAACACACUGAGCGAGGCCAGGGAUCGAACUCGCAACCUCAUGGUUCCUACUCAGAUUUGUUUCCGCUGCACCACGACGGGAACUCCCAAAAUGACACCAACUCUUGAAGAUGCAGGGUUACCAUUACAUCAUCCAUUAAUUAGCAGGCUCAGGCCCUUGGGUGGAGGUGAGGUGCUGAGGUCUCAGGGUGACACCCACUGGGAGCCUGCAGGCCUCCUACCAGUGACUCUGGGAAGGUUCCCCCUGCUUCUAACAGGUCCCUGCUCUGAAUCUGCCUGCCAGUUCCAUGUGGUUCUGGGAACUGCCAGAGGCGAGGGCUCUACCCCACUGCUUGUUUUUUCCUUGUGCCUGGCCCCUGGCUGAUGUCAGCUAACACCUGCUGAACGAUACAAACAGAAAACAGCCAGGUGUAAAAACGCCAGCACACAGGGAGGAGGAGAUGCCAAUCAUAGGGUGAGUGAGGACGGGGUCGCUGCGGCGGACUGAGUGGCCACGGUGAUGAGUCAGGCCGCAUGCGUGCUCUGUCGCCCUGCUCCUCGGUCUCUUACACGGCAGAUAGUUUUGCUCCACAGAUAAUAAAACCCAGCAUCAGAGAGACAGAGUGACUUUCUUACAGUCACACAGAUUUCUAGUGACAGAAGCAGGAAUCAUCUAGGUCUGCCUGACUCCAACCCCUUUAAUCAUUUGGAUGACUUCUGUUUUUUUCUCAAGAAAAGAAAAAAGAAUAAAAAACACGUGUUGAAUGAGUGAAUAAAUAAGUGACUAAACGACCAGAAGCUGCAAGAGAUGGGGACGCAUGUGUCUCCCCUGUCUCCUAUUGUCUCCUCAGCAUCCUGACCGGACGGACACACGAUAGAUGCCUGAAACACUAACACAGGAGUUCCCACAGUGGUGCAGCGUAAACAAAUCCGACUAGGAAUCAUGAAGUUGCGGGUUCGAUCCCUGGCCCCGUUCAGUGGGUUAAGGAUCUGGUGUUGCUGGGAGCUGUGGUGCAGGCUGGCAGCUGUAGCUCCAAUGAGAACCUCCAUAUGCCGUGGGUGCAGCCCUAAAAAGACAAAAGACAAAAGACGGAAAAAAAAAAAGAAAGAAAGAAAGAAAGAAAAAAAAAACACUAACAAAGAAAUGCAACCUAACAAAGGAGUAGAGGCCCCAUCACUGCUCCAGAGAAAAGCUCAUGGGCUCUGUGUUUACCAUUGACCUUCAACUCUCCUAGAAGGGCUGCUGUGCUCACAUCUGUCCUUUGGAGGCAAAGAAAUUCCUGUUUUUAGCCACAGGCACAGAAAUCACAAUGGGGAUGAAGGUCGCAGCUUCACCACUAGCCUGGAAGGGCCAAAAGAGCGACCCUACAGCAAAAGCCCGGUUUCCACCACAAAUCCUGUGUCCGUAUUUAGCACUUCACCCGUGACUCAAACCUUCACACCCCCAGCCCUGCCUUUGCACCCCUCAGAGUUAUCUGCACCUCCACUCCUGUCACGUAACACCGAUAUAUUUUAAUCAAUAGUCAAGGAGACAAGAUUAGAUUAAUAGACUAAAACUAUCAACCUAUUAAACAACUCUUAACAGUCUAGAAAUUCAAAAUAAUCUACGAUGCAUAAAUACAUCAUUAGUUUGAGAUGAUUCUUAGGCACUUAAUUUUUCUUCGAUGUAUGGUGUCAGUCUCAGUGCUGGGUAAUACUGCAGCUCGGAAAGACAGCAUGCAGACUUAAAUAUGAAAAGUUAAUUCCCUGGUUAAUUAAACCUAAAAUAGAGAAAAGCAGGAGUCUUGAGCAAAUUUUUUUUUUCUUUUUUUCUUUUUUUGUCUUUCUAGGGCUGCGCCCGCGGCCUAUGGAAGUUCCCAGGCUAGGGGUCGAAACGGAGCUGUAGCUGCCAGCCUAUGCCACAGCCACAGCCACACGAGAUCUGAGCCACAUCUGCGACCUACACCCCAGCUCAUGGCCACACGGGAUCCUUAAGCCACUGAAUGAGGCCAGGGAUUGAACCUGAGUCCCCAUGAAUGCUUAGUUGGGUUUGUUACCACUGAGCCAUGAUGAGAACUCCCGGGAACAGCAUCUUAAAUGGAUGCACUGCCUUUAUUUUCCAGGGGGUCCGGCCACGGUACAGUACACAUGAGCUAGCAGAACGCACUGAUCUCUGAAGACCCACCUCGCUGUGUCUCCCCUCACACAACUAUUGGGACCCUGCAGACUCAGGAAAGCUCCCCCACUUAGAAUGCCCUCCACAGGCAGGCGAGGAAAAGGAGGCCACGGAGGAGGCGAUGCCCACUGUCCUGCAUCUUCCAGGGCACCUGUGACCCCAGAGAGCAUGUAACUCAACCAUGAAGACUGAGGCCCUAUCUAGGGUCUCACGCGGGAUGUAUAAAUGGAGGAUAAAUACAUCCCUUCUGCCAUCAAUGCCGUUUCCUGCCGAGACUGUGACUUAGCAACCAGGCCUUUCUCUGAUGCCCUACUCCUCUGGCCAUCGUCUUUGGAAUGAAACAUCAAGGAGCUUCCCAACAGGACCACUCCCCUUCUAUCCUGCCCACCCUGAAAAGUGAUACCCGGAGCUGCCCAGGUGCUUAGCUGCUCGCCACAUUCCAGCAUCACAUCU